GUAGUCAUAUGCUUGUCUCAAAGAUUAAGCCAUGCAUGUCUAAGUAUAAGCAAUUAUACCGUGAAACUGCGAAUGGCUCAUUAAAUCAGUUAUCGUUUAUUUGAUAGUACCUUACUACUUGGAUAACCGUGGUAAUUCUAGAGCUAAUACAUGCUGAAAACCCCAACUUCGGGAGGGGUGUAUUUAUUAGAUAAAAACCAAUGCCCUUCGGGGCUUCUUGGUGAUUCGUGAUAACUCUACGGAUCGCAUGGCCUUGCGCCGGCGACGGUUCAUUCAAAUUUCUGCCCUAUCAACUUUCGAUGGUAAGGUAUUGGCUUACCAUAGUUUCAACGGGUAACGGGGAAU
rnacentral:rRNA from 1 species